rnacentral:tRNA from 1 species
GGAGAGGUGAUAGAGUCUGGUUUAUUAUACUAGUCUUGAAAACUAGCGGAUCGAAAGGUCCCGUGGGUUCGAAUCCCACCCUCUCCG